rnacentral:rRNA from 1 species
AUUGAACGCUGGCGGCAGGCCUAACACAUGCAAGUCGAGCGGUAGCACAGGGAGCUUGCUCUCGGGUGACGAGCGGCGGACGGGUGAGUAAUGUCUGGGAAACUGCCUGAUGGAGGGGGAUAACUACUGGAAACGGUAGCUAAUACCGCAUAACGUCGCAAGACCAAAGAGGGGGACCUUCGGGCCUCUUGCCAUCAGAUGUGCCCAGAUGGGAUUAGCUAGUAGGUGGGGUAACGGCUCGCCUAGGCGACGAUCCCUAGCUGGUCUGAGAGGGUGACCAGCCAGACUGGAACUGAGACACGGUCCAGACUCCUACGGGAGGCAGCAGUGGGGAAUAUUGCACAAUGGGCGCAAGCCUGAUGCAGCCAUGCCGCGUGUAUGAAGAAGGCCUUCGGGUUGUAAAGUACUUUCAGCGGGGAGGAAGGUGUUGAGGUUAAUAAUCUCGGCAAUUGACGUUACCCGCAGAAGAAGCACCGGCUAACUCCGUGCCAGCCGCCGCAGUAAAAC